CCUACGGGCGGCAGCAGUGGGGAAUAUUGCACAAUGGGGGAAACCCUGAUGCAGCGACGCCGCGUGAGUGAAGAAGUAUUUCGGUAUGUAAAGCUCUAUCAGCAGGGAAGAAAGAAAUGACGGUACCUGACUAAGAAGCCCCGGCUAACUACGUGCCAGCAGCCGCGGUAAUACGGAGGGGGCAAACGUUAUCCGGAUUUACUGGGUGUAAAGGGAGCGUAGACGGCGAUGCAAGUCUGAAGUGAAAGGCGGGGGCCCAACCCCUGGACUGCGUUGGAAACUGUAUGGCUGGAGUGCAGGAGAGGUAAGUGGAAUUCCUAGUGUAGCGGUGAAAUGCGUAGAUAUUAGGAGGAACACCAGUGGCGAAGGCGGCUUACUGGACUGUAACUGACGUUGAGGCUCGAAAGCGUGGGGAGCAAACAGGAUUAGAUACCCCAGUAGUC
rnacentral:rRNA from 1 species